AUUGAACGCUGGCGGCAGGCCUAACACAUGCAAGUCGAGGGGCAGCAUUAUCUUAGCUUGCUAAGAUAGAUGGCGACCGGCGCACGGGUGAGUAACACGUAUCCAACCUUCCGGUUACUCGGGGAUAGGCUUUCGAAAGAAAGAUUAAUACCCGAUGUUGCGUAUCUUUCUCCUGAGAGAUACGCCAAAGGAUUCCGGUAACCGAUGGGGAUGCGUUCCAUUAGGCAGUUGGCGGGGUAACGGCCCACCAAACCUUCGAUGGAUAGGGGUUCUGGAGAGGAACGGUCCCCCACAUUGGAACUGAGACACGGUCCAA
rnacentral:rRNA from 1 species